rnacentral:rRNA from 1 species
GACGAACGCUGGCGGCGUGCCUAAUACAUGCAAGUAGAACGCACAGUUUAUACCGUAGCUUGCUACACCAUAGACUGUGAGUUGCGAACGGGUGAGUAACGCGUAGGUAACCUGCCUGGUAGCGGGGGAUAACUAUUGGAAACGAUAGCUAAUACCGCAUAAUAUUGAUUAUUGCAUGAUAAUUGAUUGAAAGAUGCUAUUGCAUCACUACCAGAUGGACCUGCGUUGUAUUAGCUAGUAGGUGAGGUAACGGCUCACCUAGGCGACGAUACAUAGCCGACCUGAGAGGGUGAUCGGCCACACUGGGACUGAGACACGGCCCAGACGCCUACGGGAGGCAGCAGUAGGGAAUCUUCGGCAAUGGACGAAAGUCUGACCGAGCAACGCCGCGUGAGUGAAGAAGGGUUUCGGAUCGUAAAGCUCUGUUGUAAGAGAAGAACGGGUGUGAGAGUGGAAAGUUCACACUGUGACGGUAUCUUACCAGAAAGGGACGGCUAACUACGUG